rnacentral:lncRNA from 1 species
GGGCGAUCCAUGUUCGCGCGAUCGGACGGCCCAGAUUCACGGGUACGGACGGUUCAGAUUCAAUCAGGCACGGACAGCUUAGAUUGCAUCGCGAUGGACGACCCAGAUUUAAUCCCAAUUAAAUCGCGAUCGAACGGUCCAGAUUUAAUCUUGAUGGACGGUUGAGAUUAAAAGACAAAGGGUAUAAAUAACCCCACCCACACCUGAUCACAAAACCCUAGCCGCAAGUGCCUCAUCGGAGAAGAAGAACCAGACGCCGGAGGAGCCGGCUGCCGCCACUCGCCGCCGUACCGGGGAAGUUUCAGACCGCCGAUCGAGGUAAAUUUUCUCCCCCUUGCUCGGUUUUCGAUGCUGAGUCCGCCUAUGGCCAAACCGAAGCCAAACCACCGACCAAACGCCCAAAAAACCCAGCCGAAGUCCAGCAGCGACGCCGCGCCCGCCCUCUAUUUUUGCCUCCGAUGAGGCCCUUCCCGGCCUCCGUUCGAUGCAAAUUUUAUACCACUGUGAUCACCGUUCUUUUCUCUACAGGUUGAUCGGAGCCAAACAUCAAAACACGACUCACGCC